rnacentral:rRNA from 1 species
UGGGCGACUCUAAGGAGACUGCCGGUGGACAAACCGGAGGAAGGUGGGGAUGACGUCAAGUCAUCAUGGCCCUUACGGCCUGGGCUACACACGUGCUACGAAUGGUCGGUACAAAGGGUUGCCAAGCCGCGAGGUGGAGCUAAUCCCAUAAAACCGAUCGUAGUCCGGAUCGCAGUCUGCAACUCGACUGCGUGAAGUCGGAAUCGCUAGUAAUCGUGAAUCAGAAUGUCACGGUGAAUACGUUCCCGGGCCUU